rnacentral:lncRNA from 10 species
AAUCCUUCCAAGAAACUCACAAAGCAGGGCUUUUUCUUGAACUUCUCUUCCUCACAACAGUUAAAUCAUCCAUUUAAAGAUGUCAAACAACCUCCGUGUUCUAAGAUGUCUCUGUGUUAGGAAAACUUGGAUAAGCAGGUCCAUAGAAAUUCCUCUGCUAGCCCUGUCUCCUGGAAUUUCUACAUAAUGGCAUAUCCUCAGUUUGAAGCUGAAAAGGUUAAAUUCUACCUGAAGGAUGAAAACAACCAACAUUCUGUGCCAAGACAGUCAGGAGGGCAACCAUGUUUCCUGGUGGAGCCUCUGGAACCACUCAAGCCAAGAUGACCGGGGGUUUGGCUGGGAGGAGAUGGGGAAACUACAGACCCUACAGAUGGUUUCCUGUACCAUGAGGUUAAGCCUGGGGGCAGGAGAGGCUGUACCUUAGUUCCUUCAUCUGUAAAAUAAAGUAACAUAGUACCUACCUCA